rnacentral:rRNA from 1 species
UACGUAGGGGGCUAGCGUUGUCCGGAAUCAUUGGGCGUAAAGGGCGCGUAGGCGGCCAGCACAAGUCAGUUGUGAAAUCUCCGAGCUUAACUCGGAAAGGUCAACUGAUACUGUGCGGCUAGAGUGCAGAAGGGGCAACUGGAAUUCUUGGUGUAGCGGUGAAAUGCGUAGAUAUCAAGAGGAACACCUGCGGCGAAGGCGGGUUGCUGGGCUGACACU